UACAGAGGUCUCAAGCGUUUGUUCGGAUUCAUUGGGCGUAAAGGGUGCGUAGGCGGCGCGGUAAGUCGGGUGUGAAAUCUCGGAGCUUAACUCCGAAACUGCAUUCGAUACUGCCGUGCUUGAGGACUGGAGAGGAGACUGGAAUUUACGGUGUAGCGGUGAAAAUGCGUAGAUAUCGUAAGGAAGACCAGUGGCGAAGGCGGGUCUCUGGA
rnacentral:rRNA from 1 species